GCAAGCUGUGGUAGCGUCCGUUGAAACGUCUGGGCUGCCGACUGUCUUGGGGUCAUUCCAUGGUCCAGAGGUGCAACGCCGUCAGCUUGAACAAGUACUGCGGCAGUUUGACGAAAUCUUCACGGAAAAACCGGGCAAGUCGUCUGUGUUACAGCAUAGCGUAGACACCGUUAACGCUAGGCCCGAGACCAUUGAGUGUGCAUAAGCGUGCUUUGUUAGACGCUGCUCUUGACGAAAUGCUCCAAACCGGUGCAGUUCAAAGGUCUCAGACGCCUUGGGCAUUUCCUGUUGUUCUGGCUCGACACGUGAUGGUACGGCUAGGCCAUGCGUCGACUAGCAUUCCCCACUUGUAUUCCCUGGACAACGCAACUGUGUUUUCAACGCUUGAUUGUAGUAGAGGAUUUUCGCAAACCUAAGUUGCCCCGGAGGAAGUCCCAAAAACAGCCUUCACGUGUCAUAGAGAAAGACUUGGAACACCUGUCAAUCGUCCUUGCAAGGAUGAAUGAAGCGGGCAUAACGAUCAACCCCCUGCAAGGUGCAGCUGGCAUCGUCUAGGAUCAGCCUUCUCGGCUUUGUGGUGGACGGAGUAACCAUCCAUCCUCACAACGACAAGCUAAAGGCGAUCACGGAGUUUCCGGUUCCCGGUAACGUCAAAGCCUUGCAGCGCUUCCUAGGUAUGGUUGGUUUUUACAGACAAUUCAUUCCUAAUUGUGUCCAGCUAGCGCAGCCGCUUAACCAGUUGUUGCGCAAGGACACACGCUGGAAUUGGAGAAAAGAGCAGGAACGAUCAUUUCGAGCUCUACCACAAGAAAUCGCUGAUGCGGCUAGGCUUUAUCUGCCAGACCUUAACAAACCAUUUGUUGUGCGAACAGAUGCAAGCGAUUAUGGUGUUGGCGCAGUUCUAUUGCAGGAGCAUGACGCUGCUCUUUGUCCUGUAGCUUUUGCAAGUCGCACGCUAAAUCCGGUAGAACAGAACUACUCCGUCACGGAAAAGGAGUGCUUGGCGAUCAUCUUCGCUUUCAGGAAACUCGACUUCUACCUGCACGAGAGUACCUUCACUGUCCAGACUGAACACCAGCGGCUCCAUUGCCCGUCUGGGUGACUUGUCAGGUGGGCACUGACGCUACAAGGCAACUCCUUCAACGUGGAGUACAGGCAGGGCUCGACGAACGUGGUAGCAGACGCGCUGUCCCGCGCACCUCUUCCGGAGGGGGAAGAGGAAGCACCGAGGCGCCUUGUCAAUUUCUGGCAGCAGCACAAGUGGCACGAGAUGUACCUUCGUCUUGGGGCACGGUCGUGAGCAGAGAACAGCUCCUAGAGGCUCAGAGAGCGGACGGCCUUUGUCAGCGGGUGCAGCAGUGCAUAGCUGAGCAAGACUCGGCGGACACCGGUACGACUGACGGACGGCACGACUCCUAUCUGCUGGGCGAGGAUGGCAUCCUGUUCAGAUACAUACCCCAGGCGCACGAGGACGACGGCUCAUCCCCGUUCAGAGUCGUGGUGCCACGGAAGUUGCCUUGACCUAUGAAACUACACCUAUGAACACUACAGCCACACUGCACGGUUUCGCACUGCUACAAGACGACUACUUCAGAAAGAGUGAUGUCAUGAUUGGUUCCAAUUGUACACGAACAGCCAGAUGGAAACCAUUGCUGCAGCAUCCUAGCCUGAAGAACAAACAACUGAGCAACAAGAGACAAGUUUGGAACCUGCACAGACCUCACAGAGAAAUUAGCGCAAAAACCAGACUGCGAUGAUGCAGGUCCUAGAGCUCUAAACAGCUGUGAAAUGAGAGCUACAAAAGCAGAAAAAAGGAACGAAGGUUUCAAAGAAAAGUACUGAGGCUGCAGGAAGGAGUUAACAGAAUGCAACAAGAAAUGCUUCCAUAAGCAAAUUAAAAUGGUGCAAGCAAGAUGGUGUACUGUGGAAAGACCUAACAUUUCCUUCAGUUUGAGGAACACACAGUUCAUAUUGUAUGUUCCUCAAACUCGAGGAAAUGUUUCCUCCUUCAAAGAAAUGUUUAAUUCGAUGCAGACUUAUUUUUAAUCAUCGCCACCACAAUAAUUUUCUUUUUUCCAUAACAGAGAAAGCUGGCAUAGUUUGUUUUUUUAGCUUUAUAACAGUGCAUUGUCCUUGCAAAACCUCAUUAAAGGGGCCGUAAACAGGCCACCAAACAUUUCUGAAAUAAUGAUACCCCAUGAAAGAACACAGCUCAUAAUACCCAAAUAUACAUUUCGUUCGGCUCGUGCCAGCUCAUUGACCCGUAUAACUGCUUUCAAAGAUGAGUAACUAGCGAGCCUCUCUCCACAACGCAUACGUCACAUGGCUACGUAGCGUUUUGCCGUCCAAUCGGGGGCCCGAGCUGCGCACAUAACGUUUCAAAUUACCAGCCGAUAAACAUACUUCGUUAUCAGCUGUGAGUCGGAGCGCUCAGUUUGUUUGUGUGAAAUGACGUUAUGCGUUCCGUGGUUCCGAAAUUCAACGUCAUGACAUCUUCAACAUCUCCGGCUGGCGCAAACGUCAACAGCUGGGCUGCUAUCACAUGACGCGAUUCGAACCCGGGUUCCUCCCAGUCACGACGUGACAUGGCCAGCACGCUAUCCACUGUACCACGCGAGCUGGUGACGCGAUGCCGCGUGGCUCAAACCAAAGUACUGCAGCCCAGUUGUCGGAACCAUUCGAAGAUGACGAAGAUGUUCCAUAGCGCACCUACCUAAGAUUCCGGAACUGUAGUCCCGGAUAUUCAUUCGCGCUCGUGGUGUGCUGCGUGCUACUGCCCAGAAAACGUAGUGCGCGUAUGAUACCUAAAUUAAACACAUUUCUUUCUCAGUUUGAGGCUCUAACUGUUUAGACUUUGAAUAGAAGAGGAUUCACGUUCAUCUAGUCCAAUUCCGCAUUUGAAAUAAAAUCGUACGUGGAACACUCAAUCAUAAUUGGUGGGGAAAGCGCUACGUCAAAAUGACGUAAAGUUAGAGCGUGGGGCGGAGCUAAAAUGCGAAAGAGUGCAGUGAAUAUUUCAUCCGUAUGCAAGCGCCUUUUGUUUUUGAGCGUUAGUAAUUGCAAGGAGUUUUCACGGCCUAAGCUCCAAUAAUAUAACACAAAAAAUGUGCACCUUUUGUACCUGUUUACGGCCCCUUUAAGUGUAUAUGUGUAAUGUAUUAUGUCAGCGAUUCUCGCUUUUGUUACUUAAGCUGAAAAACGGUCAUUGCAUGAAAAAAAAAAAACUUACAACAACAAAACAUAGGCGUAUUACUGUAGUUAUAAAAUGUACAUAUAAGGAAACAUGACAGUAAAAUUAUUCACUUUAGAGGAAUGUACUUGCCCGCAAUAAAUAUGCUGUCAUAGUGUUGUAAAAUGUUGUUUGAUUGAUUGAGAUUUUAAAAAAAUAUGGCGGUGUUCCGGUCAGCUACUGCAGAACUCGUGAAUAGAAAACAGUAGAAAAAUCAACCUCAAGAUG